ensembl:misc_RNA Metazoa_SRP Metazoan signal recognition particle RNA
AGUGGCAUGAUCUCGGCUCACUGCAACCUCCGACUGCUGGACUCAAGAGAUUCUCCCCUCUUGAGCCCAGGAGUUCUGGGCUGUAGUGCACUAUGCGAGUCGAGUGUCCGCACUAAGUUCGGCAUCAAUAUGGUGAUCUCCCGGGAGCGGGAGUUUGCCUAAGGAGGGGUGAACCAGCCCAGGUGGGAAACGGAGCAGGUCAAAACUCCCAUGCUGAUCAGUAGUGGGAUGGCACCUGUGAAUAGCCACUGCACUCCAGCCUAGGCAACAUAGCGAGACUGUCUCUAAA